UACGUAGGGUGCAAGCGUUGUCCGGAAUUAUUGGGCGUAAAGAGCUCGUAGGCGGUUUGUCGCGUCUGCUGUGAAAUCCCGAGGCUCAACCUCGGGCUUGCAGUGGGUACGGGCAGACUAGAGUGCGGUAGGGGAGAUUGGAAUUCCUGGUGUAGCGGUGGAAUGCGCAGAUAUCAGGAGGAACACCGAUGGCGAAGGCAGAUCUCUGGGCCGAUACUGACGCUGAGGAGCGAAAGCGUGGGGAGCGAACAGG
rnacentral:rRNA from 1 species